UGUCCAGUAGCACCUUAGAGACCAACUAAGUUUGUUCUGGGUAUAAGCUUUCGUGUGCAAACAAACUUAGUUGGUCUCUAGUUGGUCUUACUUAGUUGGUCUCUAAGGUGCUACCGGACA